rnacentral:tRNA from 1 species
GAACCCAUCACAGGAAUCGAAUCCGGGCCGCCCGCGUGGCAGGCGAGCAUUCUACCACUGAACCACCAAUGCU